GGACUACUGGGGUAUCUAAUCCUGUUUGCUCCCCUAGCUUUCGCAGUUGAGUGUCAGUAAUGGUCCAGGUACCUGCUUUCGCCAUUGGUGUUCCUCCCGAUCUCUGCGCAUUUCACCGCUACACCGGGAAUUCCAGUACCCUCUCCCAUACUCAAGUCUGAUAGUUUCUGUUGGCCUCUCCCAGUUGAGCCGGGAGCUUUCACAACAGACUUAUCGAACCACCUACCUGCCCUUUACGCCUAGUAAUUCCGAGUAACGCUUGCAACCUUCGUAUUACCGCGGCUGCUGGCAC
rnacentral:rRNA from 1 species